rnacentral:rRNA from 1 species
CCCUUAGAUGUUCUGGGCGGCCCGCGCACUACACUGGCACUCUCAAUCAGAGCCUGGAUCUAACACUUUGGGGUAUUCUAUGAAGUGGUGUCGUGACUGGGAUCAACCCUUGCAAUUAUUGGUUACGAACGAGGAAUUCCUUGUAAUCGCGGUUUAUCAGCCCGCGUUGAAUGCGUCCCUGCCCUUUGUACACACCGCCCGUCGCUCCUACCGAUGGAUCGUCCGGUGAAGCUCAUGGAGGGGCGGUUGUCUCAGCUGCCGUCGAAGUGAAAUGGACCUCACGAUCUAGAGGAAGGAGAAGUCGUAACA